UGCGUAGGCGGUGCGGUAAGUCUUCUGUGAAAUCUCCGGGCUCAACUCGGAGUCUGCAGGAGAAACUGCCGUGCUUGAGUAUGGGAGAGGUGAGUGGAAUUCCUGGUGUAGCGGUGAAAUGCGUAGAUAUCAGGAGGAACACCUGUGGCGAAAGCGGCUCACUGGACCAUAACUGACGCUGAGGCACGAAAGCUAGGGGAGCAAACAGGAUUAGAUACCCUGGUAGUCCUAGCCCUAAACGAUGAUUGCUUGGUGUAGCAGGUACCCAAUCCUGCUGUGCCGCAGCUAACGCGUUAAGCAAUCCGCCUGGGGAGUACGGUCGCAAGGCUAGAA
rnacentral:rRNA from 1 species